rnacentral:SRP_RNA from 1 species
CCGUGCUAGACGGGGAGGUAGCGGUGCCCUGAACCCGCAAUCCGCUAGAGCGGGGUUUAAUCCCUGCCCCCGGUUUCGCAGCUUUCAGGGUCAGCACCGGGUAAGUAGUGUUGAAGGCCCGGUCCCGUGCGGCGCAAACUCAUGAACCCCGUCAGGUCCGGGAGGAAGCAGCGGUAAAUGAGAUCUUGCGGGUGCCACGGGGCUGCCGGGUUGGAGCCAACUGCCCGGCCAGCGCCUGGGGGCGGAGAUCAAAGGCAGGUGCACGG